rnacentral:ribozyme from 1 species
UUUAGACGGCACAGGCGUGGCCUGCACCUGUCAGCGAAUGCGCUGCAUCACAUUCUCGUCACCGCCCCAU